UGUUUAAAUUUCUGGGUGGAAAAGUUCAAUUCUUGUCCAUAAGACAUGGAAACAUUGGGUUGCGCUUGCGACCCAUGAGAAGAGCAAGGGAUGGCAAUUUAUGGCAUCAUAAUGUUGCAUAUCGGAGACAUCGUAGCACUACCUGGGAUACUGCCAUACUUUAUGUUAUUAUCGCGUGCCCGUAACGCGAAUGAGCCACUGAAUGGGCGACGAAACCUUCUGCUACUGCAGCCGAUCUACAGCCACCGAACUGUUUUAAGUUGAAGAACUCCACCAGCACUUGCUAAUAUUGUAGCGAUGAGAUGCCAAAAACAAUGUCCGGGCUAUCGUAUUGGAACAGGUGUUUAGUGACUACCUGAUUGGAUCUGGAGAAUACAUCUUUCGUUAUUGACAUCUACACAGAUUAUAAUACUAAUAUUGUAACCCAGUCUAAAUCUGUAAUCAUAAAAGAUCGUUGUAGGUACAUUUUAGAAUAAUAAAACUGACAUGGUCAUUAGGCAUUA